AUGUUCAGCUACGUACAACCUUGCCACACAGAGCCCUCCAAGGCAGUCCCUAGAGCCAUUGAAACAGUCAGAGACAUGACCCUUUGGUUGAAUCUUCUCCUGUUCUCUGCCUUUUUCUCAGAAUGUCGUUCAGAGGUUCAGCUGGUGGAGACUGGAGGAGGUGUUGUGUCCCCAGGAGGCUCCCUCCGCCUCACCUGCAAAGCUUCAGGAUUCACUUUUAGUGACUACAGCAUGCAUUGGGUCCGUCAGGCUGCCGGGAAAGGCCUCGAGUGGGUGGCAGGAAUAAGUUAUGAUAGUGCUUAUCAGUGGUAUAACUCCAAGGUUCAGGGAAGAUUCACCAUCUCCAGAGACAACGCUCAGAGUUCAGUGGAUCUGCGGAUGGCAAGCUUGAAGCCUGAAGACUCUGCCGUGUAUUACUGUGCAAGGGACACAGUUACAACUUCUGCUUUCAAGCUUGUACAAAAACCUCAGAUCCCCUUGAGUGUGGAGUGUGGAG